rnacentral:misc_RNA from 1 species
AAGUCGUAACAAGGUUUCCGUAAGGUGAACCUGCAGGAAGGAUCCAAUUGAAUCGAGAUGCAGUGCCCUUUCGGGGUAGACCUCCCACCCCUGUUUACCGUACCCGUUGCUUUGGCGGUCCCGUCGCAAGACGGGCCGCCAGAGGACCUUUAAAACCCGUAUUAUCAUUGUCGUCUGAGUACUAUCAAUAGUUUAAAA